CCCUUAGAUGUUCUGGGCGGCCCGCGCACUACAAUGGCGCUUUCAGCGAGUUCCUAUGUUGAAUUUUCCUGGGUAUUCUUGGAAGCGGCGUCUUGACUUGGGAUAGAUCCUUGUAAUUGUUGGUUUUGAACGAGGAAUUCCUUGUAAUCGCGGUUGAUCAGCUCGCGUUGAAUACGUCCCUGCCCUUUGUACACACCGCCCGUCGCUCCUACCGAUGAAUCGUCCGGUGAGGUUCACAGAGUGGCGGUUCGUGGAGUUGCUCGCGAAGUGAAAUGGACCUCACGAUUUAGAGGAAGGAGAAGUCGUAACA
rnacentral:rRNA from 1 species